AAAGAUUAAGCCAUGCAUGUCUAAGUAUAAGCAAUUAUACAGCGAAACUGCGAAUGGCUCAUUAUAUAAGUUAUCGUUUAUUUGAUAGUACCUUACCACUUGGAUAACCGUGGUAAUUCUAGAGCUAAUACAUGCUAAAAAUCCCGACUUCGGAAGGGAUGUAUUUAUUAGAUUAAAAACCAAUGCCCUUCGGGGCUCACUGGUGAUUCAUGAUAACUCCUCGAAUCGCAUGGCCUUGUGCCGGCGAUGGUUCAUUCAAAUUUCUUCCCUAUCAACUUUCGAUGUUUGGGUAUUGGCCAAACAUGGUUG
rnacentral:rRNA from 1 species